AGCUCAUCAGCCAUCAGAACCCGCGGUGCCCCCGCAUUCCAAAAAACUGUAGAUCUGUAGGCGCCUGAGUGCACCGGCGUGAGAAGAGGGGACAGAACACUUAAAACUUUCAUUAACUGCCUGAUGAGGUCAUGCAGCAGCGUUUUUGGUCUGAAACGAGGCACAUGUGGUAAUGUUGCAAUACACCACAUGUGACAACAAGCCCACGAAGUAGUGCAUUUAACCUUGCAGCAAUUCCCUUCCGCUCUGUCCCGUGACCUGGCGAGCGGGUUCAGCAAGUUGGAGCCGAAGAGUCUUUUGUUUCUUUCUACGACCGCUGUCCACAUCACGCAGAUAGAUUACGCACGGAUGUUAACCCGAUGUGUUCAUUUGAGCGGUGUGGAGUUAAAAGUGCAAUGUGCACGCGCACCAUGGGGGACGCUUUCCAUUCCUUAGUCCCUCUGAAGUCUCAUUCAUGCUAAACGUCCAGACUGAUGAGAAGGCAAAGCUCAGUCGCCUGCAGGUCCACGUGAGCCAACGCUGCACACAGAAGGAACCACUCUUUUUUUUGUAUCUAUGUUUGUUUAGUCAUUUUUAACAACAACAACAACAACAACAACGUUAUGAUGUGAUGUAAAACUGUGAAAGGGAUAACUUGAGAAGGACCACGCUCAUCAACAUAUAAAACCACUUAAGCCCCACAGCCGGGAGAAGACUUUCACUAUUCACAAAGUUAUAUUUGAUCCAUCCAUCCAUCGUCAAUCCGCUUAUCCUGCACACAGGGUCGCGGGGGGGCUGGAGUCUAUCCCGGCCAACUUCGGGUGAUAGACAGGGUACAUCCUGGACUGGUCGCCAGCCAAUCGCAGGGCUACACAGAGACACACAACCAUUCACAUUCACAUCCACACACCUACGGGCAAUUUAGAGUCCCCAAUCAACCUGAUCCCCAGAGCGUGUCUUUGGACUGUGGGAGGAAGCCGGAGAACCCGGAGAGAACCCACGCAGACACGGGGAGAACAUGCAGACUCCACACAGAAAGGCCACUGGGCGGAGUUGAACCCAGGACCUUCCUGCUGUGAGGCGACUAUUGCUGUUAAAACUGCUGAGAAAAUAGACCUACAGCAACGCCUCUUCGGUAAAGCCCUAGCGACAAAUCAGCCAAAGAACAUCAGUAACAAAUCGUUUUUGACAGAAGAAUUUGUAAAAUGUCCCUUUCCUUAUAGCAGUUAGCCAUGAAAAGUGUAACACUCUUAAUAUGAGACCGCAACGUCCCGUGUGCCAGUACGACCACUUCUGGAAGCUUCUGUUCUUUGGUGGAAUGUUCAAAGGUUACGCGUCCAUCUUUUGCCUGCCCGACCCUUUCCCACGAUGCUGAUCCUGGUCGACGAACAGGCCUGUCAAUCUCAUUUCGAUGGAAAUGCCGCAAUUUUGUACGUCUUAACAAUUCCAAUGAGGCGUCGGAGAAAAAGCUCAUUUUAGAAAGGAACCAGCCCGACCGCCGACACCGAAUCGCCCCCCGCCGCCGGCGCCAACGCUGCUCCCCGGGACGUGCCGGAAGCGAUGGACGUGGAGGGGGUUCACCUGGAGGAGGGAACGCCGGAAACCUCCCGGGGAGAGGACUCCGAGCUCAGCCUGAGCUUCCAGGGCUACGUCGCCGAGCUGCGGCAGUGCCAGAGCAAGCUGAGGAACGGCCCGUCGGUGCCCCCCCCGAGCGGCCGCGACGCGCCGGGGCGCACGGACUGCAAGACGGACCUGUACAAGGCCACGAUUGUCUAAACGGAACCCCCCCCCCCCCCUCCGCCCCCACUGCUGCACUUUUUAAACCCCGAGGCACUGUCUUUCAAAAGGGAAUGAGAUGAACGCUGGGCUGCAUGAACACCCCCCUAUAAUCUAAUCUACAUUCCGGGGAUAGAUAUUGGAAAUUUGUUACCAAUUCUGCCGUGAUAUUGUAGGAUUUUUGUACUGGUUGUGAUUUUCUUUGGACAGUGAUAUGGUUUUGUUGUGGUUUAAUAAGCAAAGGAAUUUUAUUAAGAGCCGCGAAGACCAAGGACCGUGUAAGAAGCAGGAAUAUGAAGUUUGGGGUACUUUUUAAGCAGGGCAUGCGUUUCAGAUAGGUGGUUAUCAAUGGGUUUGUAGUAAUUAUUUCCUUUCUAAUAGGCCAUCAAAAUGAAUUGAAUAGUUUACUAAAAAGUAAACGAUGUUAUAUUGUAAUAUGUAGGAGCCAAGGAAUAAACCAUUAAUGAAGCUAAUAAGUAUAAGUAGUAUUGACGUAUGAAGUUUGAUGAGGGAAUCUUGACUUAAUGUCCACCUACUGAGGCUGAGGAAGUCUGGCGCGCAUUUGAAAACUCCAGAAAAGCCAAUGAGUUUUGUGAAUCUUAAAUUGUUGACCUAUUAGAAAUAAGUGCCCACUUUUGUUGGAACACAUGCGAGACAGGACUCUGUUUUUAAGGAUGAAAAGGGAGGCAAAUCACAGUUUUAAUGCAUAUUUAAAUAUUUCCGUUAUAUCACUCCUAUGUUUUGCAGAUAAUACAUGACGGUACCUCUGUUCCUGUGCUUCCUGCUUCCGUGAUUUUGAGGAUGUCCACGUGUUAAAUGAUUAAAAAGCUUUGAUGGCUGUAAAUUCCAACAAAA
ensembl:lncRNA